CCCCCGGCCCCUGCCUGGACCCGGAGCCCCAUCGGUGCCGGGCUCAGAGCAAGUCUGUUGCAUGCUUUCCUGGCCAAAGCUACAUGGAAAGCGGAGACAGGAGGCUGGUGGGUGACGCUGAGGGGCAGGGAGGGAAAAGCUCCUUGUGGUCCCUUGGCCCCAAGUCACUGCCUCUGAGCCGGGCCCGAUGACCUCCGUACAUUCGCAGCUGGUGGGAGGGGAAGUCGUCAAGGCCAUAAAAGGCAAUGAGAACGGUAAACAUUUGGCUAAGAUGUCACCCUGGGUAAGACAGGGCCAUCUGUGAGGAUGGACUGAAGGAGAGAGUGGACCUAGGUGAGAGUGGACCUAGGUGAGCGUGGGAGGUUAGCCAAUGACAGGGGCUCUUCUACGAUACAUGUCGGUAGUAAAGACCUGAUUGUGUGACCUGCUACAAAUGACUACAACAGGAAAUACGGUGCUAUUCAAAUCUAUUAAGAAGUCUGUUGUCUUUAAAAAAAAAAAAAAAAAAGAAAACAGAAAAACAAAAACCCAACCAACCCUAGGAUCUUAAAGUAGCUAUUAAUUAGGAUUCUAACCACGUCGUAGUUAGCCCCCGGUUGGUUUCCUGUGAUGAACUGGUACAGGCUAGAGCUAGGUACAAAAGUUUAUGAAUGCUUUGAAAGAGUAACAAAGUGCAAAGAGGGUGACUGCAGGAGGGUGCCGGCAGCUCCCAGGAGCCCCAGCCCCUCCUGGCUGCAGGCUGUCCGUGCUGAGGCGGGUCUGGGUCCAGCUGCGCUGUGGGCACUGGGGGUCCCUUUCAGCAGCGUUCCAUAGUGCGGUUGGUGUUUUCCUGCAGAUCAAGAUGAGGAGUUGGGUUUUCUGGCUGAGCUUUAUACUGAAGACUGGUCCCAGACCUAGGAGCAGGAGGGCAGAGGUCAGAAAUCGCUGUGCUCACUUUGCAAACAGGAAGCCCAGACUGGGGUGUGCAGGAGCACGUGGCCUCUCCUUCCUGCGCUGAGCCGAGCGCGACUGGCACAGCUACCCCUCCGAGCUCGCAAAACUCACCACAGAGUCCCCAACACUACGCUUUCUGCUGAGCGCCCACAGCGUGUCGGGCCCUGUGCUAAGCUCUUCAGGUACCUUAACUCAUCAGAUCACCCUAACAGCAGCUCUGCAAGCUAGGAACAGCCGUGACCCUCGUCGUACAGACAAGAAGCUGGAGAGACAGAGAGGCUGCGAUUCCAGUGCAGCCCUGGAUAUGUCAGAUGAAGAUCUCACCAGACACGGCCCUAACAACCUCUCUGAAGAAGCAAGAUCCAGCUACACAGACAGGACUGACACACAGCCUUCAGUGUCAGUUCCUUCCCACCCCUGAUGAGCAGCCAAGCUCAAAAUGUGGAAAUUCCAACAACCCACGCUCAGAAAGCCAGAACUUUCUUGUGUGUGCAGCAGUAAAAUUUGAGAUAAACCUUGAUUUCAAGAGGUCGAAAUCUGAGCUAUCUUCAUCUCUUGUCAUGUGGCUUUGUGAUACAGAAGACAAAAAAAGAAAUUUCAAGUAAGAGUAUCAUGUUAAGCCGAUUUGUAAUGGAAGAGAAAUUAUAAAGCAUGUCAGGGGCCCAUCGUAAAGCAAGCGCAAGCUCACUGCCCAGAGGAAGAAAAGUGACUCAAGGAAGGCCAUUCGAGAAGUCAGCUUAGGUUGACGGGAUAAAGGAAAACUCUCGUCAUUCUCGGCAGAGCGGGCCAUUUUCCAUCUCCAAAUCCCUUAAUAACCAAUGCUCUACCACAUCAAUUUUAUGUUUGUUUCUUGCAGAGAGUUACAUUUCCUGCUCUGCUAAACAAACAGACCAGGGCAGUGCAGCCUGCAGUGAACCACAUUCUCCCAAGCUGGCCUUCUACAUUCUGGACCUGCCCAAAGCAGACAGCAACAAAAAGUUGCGGUUUUAUAAGCCAAGAGACAACUUAAGGAAACUGCUGGUUUUCCAGACAUGCCUGGCAUCAGCAGGAAAACAACACCAUUAUUUCUGCCCCUUGUUCACAGGAACUAGAACCAUUUUCCAUGACAGAAUAAGUUAACUCCUUACAGAGACACCAUAUCAUCUCAAAAGGAAGGUGCCUGGCCAUCUAACUAGUGAGGCAGUGGAGAAAAGAGAAAAAAAUCUAAUUACAGUACUUGGGCUGGUUCUUGGCAUGACUGACUUGGAAACUAAAUAAAAUCUAGACAUUGUCAGGAGAGGACUACAGCCCUUUGAGCAGUCACUCCUGAGGCAGGAUCAAGCCAAAAAGUGAGAAGCAGCUGGUUAUUCAGCACUUCUGGUUUUCCAGCAAGUUCCUGGGACUAAAAUCACACUGACCAAACAUUUCUGACCAACACUUACAUUUCAACAAAAGAAACAGACACUACUCGUUAGGACAUAGUCUCAGAACAUUAAAUUGACAACUCUCUUUUCUAAGAUCUAAGCAGCAUUUCAUAACAUUAGAGGUGGUUCCUUUACCAAACUGAGUCCUUUGAGAAUCAAAACCAUCUUGUAGCCCCAGACAUUGUGUCUGGCACAUGGUAGGGGGUCCACAUAACUAUUUAUAGGGUAGACAUGUGGGGUUUGUAAACCAGUCCACAAAAUUAAAACCCUAGGUCAAUUAAAUAAUAUUCCCCUGGGUUAAAUAAGCUUAUCUCCUUUGUGGACCAGGAUCUUAAAAUUACACAUCUCAGACCUACACAUCGAACCGAAUCUGGCUCCGAGCCCUGGGUGUCAAGACAAAGCCAGUCCCACUUCCACACACUGCUGGUGGGAUAACUAAAGGGUACAGCCUCUAGGGAGGAAAACUCACCAACAUCUAUCAAAAUCACCAACGCCCAUCAAUUCCUUUUCUAGGAAUUCAUCCUCCAGAUAGAUUCCUAAGCAUGCAAAAUGAAUGUACAAAGUCAUUUACUACAGCAACAGACUGGAAACAACCCAAACAUCCACUGAUAAAGGAGCAGUUAAAUAAGGUAUAGUCAUGUGAACGAAUGCUAUGCAGGUGUUUAAAAAAAAAAAAAAAAAAAAAGAAUGAAGAAAUACUUUGGAUACUGACAUGGAGCAAUCUCUAAGACACAGAAGAGUGUGCACAGGAUGCUAUCGCCUGUAUUGAGAAGAAGGGGAAGAGCACUUCCAGAAUGGCAGAGUAAGGCCUCCCGAAAACCUGUUUCUCCAUAGAAACAACAACAACACUGGCAAAAUUGUCAAAAAUCAACCUUUUUGGAACUCUGGAAAUUAACCAAAGUCUUGCAACAAUUCAAAGAGUGUUUAUGCAAGAAAAUGUGCAAUAUUCACCACCCCCGUCUCCCCAGAUCUGCAGUAGUUUUGAAACCAACAGCCUUGUAAGCAGCUGUGAAAACCAGCACCCUGGUAACCCCUGGAGGGAGUACAUUAGGACUGGAGCUUCCCAAAAGCCCCAGCCUCAGAAAACUGCCACUAUCUGACCUAUCUGGCUCCUCCCUGGAAAAAGACCAUCCUCAGGGCUUGUUUUUAAUUGACCUGAUUCAGGUCUUCCUCUAGAGAAAUGCCCUAUCUCUAGACGUUCACCAAAAAAAAAAAAAUCAAUGGCUACUGUUUAACAUGGCAAAUGCCUGAGGCAGUAAGACCAGUUGGGGAAAACAAGAGGCUAGCUACAACACUCAAAAGGAAGUCCUGCAUAUUCCUGGGGAUCUGUAAGGCCACACACACACAGGUAAGCUUGUCACAUACCCAGGAAAAACCUACGAAGGCCUCAGUCUGUCAGCCACAGCUGACUCUGAGUGCUGAAGGUGUGCCCCAAAGCACACACACACACGGUCGCUCAGCAAAGGGUGGGUUCAGUGCAUUUAAGGAAAUCUCUUUCUAGUCAUUCAGCUGACCACUACCCUAAUCAAGCAGAAACUUCAAUGGCUACACAUAACAACGGACACAGACUACAGAAUUAGUACAAGAGUCACUAAACAAACAGUGACAACAACACACCCAGGGAGGGGAAGGGGGAGCUGAUUUUCAGAGCUGCCACGUUGUAUUAUUUGAAAUGUUCAGUUUUCAACAAGAAAAAAUUUACAAGACAUUCCAAGCAAGAGUAAAUAAAUAAAGUACAGCCCAUA